AACGGCGAGUGAAGCGGUAACAGCUCAAAUUUGAAAUCUGGCCUCACGGUCCGAGUUGUAAUUUGUAGAGGAUGCUUCGAGCAUGGUCUGGCCUAAGUUCCUUGGAACAGGACGUCAUAGAGGGUGAGAAUCCCGUAUGCGGCCAGGUGCCUACGCUCAUGUGAAGCUCCUUCGACGAGUCGAGUUGUUUGGGAAUGCAGCUCAAAAUGGGUGGUAAAUUUCAUCUAAAGCUAAAUAUUGGCCAGAGACCGAUAGCGCACAAGUAGAGUGAUCGAAAGAUGAAAAGCACUUUGGAAAGAGAGUUAAACAGUACGUGAAAUUGUUGAAAGGGAAGCGCUUGCAACCAGACUUGCGCGCGGCCGAUCAUCCGGUGUUCUCACCGGUGCACUCGGCCGUGCUCAGGCCAGCAUCGGUUUUGGCGGCUGGAUAAAGGCCCUAGGAAUGUAGCUCCUCUCGGGGAGUGUUAUAGCCUAGGGUGCAAUGCAGCCUGCUGGGACCGAGGACCGCGCUUCGGCUAGGAUGCUGGCGUAAUGGUUGUAAGCGGCCCGUCUUGAAACACGGACCAAGGAGUCUAACAUCUAUGCGAGUGUUUGGGUGUCAAACCCAUACGCGUAAUGAAAGUGAACGGAGGUGAGAACCCUUAAGGGUGCAUCAUCGACCGGUCCUGAAGUUUACGGAAGGAUCUGAGUAAGAGCAUAGCUGUUGGGACCCGAAAGAUGGUGAACUAUGCCUGAAUAGGGUGAAGCCAGAGGAAACUCUGGUGGAGGCUCGCAGCGGUUCUGACGUGCAAAUCGAUCGUCAAAUUUGGGUAUAGGGGCGAAAGACUAAUCGAACCAUUGACCUGUAGGAACACU
rnacentral:rRNA from 1 species